UCCUUGUUUCUCUUCUCUCUGACUGUCUUGGUGACCAUAGCUCCCCGUUUUAUACAGCACCAUGUCCAAAGCAUCCCUUCUGCUGCUCUGGGCUGCCCUGGUACUGACCAGCCAUGGACAUGGAGCCAUGAUGAGAAAGGAAGAUUCGUGGAAGCCACUGAGCAACCCCAGAAACAGAGAACUGUUUUUCAGAAGCCUUCAGGCCUAUUUUAGGGGCAGAGGACUCGAUCUUGGGAGACUUCCAAAUACCUUCUCCAUGAAUGAGGACCCCAGACCUCUCUCUCUGCAGGCAGAACAUAUGGCUUCUGCAUUUGCAGACUACGAGGAGCACAAAAACUCGCUCC
rnacentral:lncRNA from 1 species